CCACAGUGGUGUCUGACCUCCUGAUACUUAUCAUGGAGACAGCUCUCAAAUAAAGCCACUUUUAUCACGACACUUCCCUGCUCAAAACCCAUCCAAAAUACUCCGUUACUGACAAGAACCACCACCAAGGAAGUUUUCCUGGGAUUUGACCAGAUCUGUCGUUGAAGGAACAGGAUUUCCUAUUUAUCCUUAGGGAGUAACCAUCCAACUACCAAAACCAUUCAACAGAGUCCUUCAACUCUAACUAACAAGAAUCACCAACAUUUAAGGGAGACCAAUGGAAUGAUAAAAAGGUUCCAAACAGAACAAAUCCCUAUGAAAAAAGAAUUUCUGAAAGAAAUAAAAAGAACUUUUCAAAGGACUGUAAUUAUUAUAAUCAACAAAACUAAAGAAAAUAUUGCAUUCUUUAAAAAAACCAUUGUGGAUAUGAAAGAAGAAUAGGAAGAAAAAGGAAGAGAAGGAAGAAAAGAGUUAGCAUUUUUGGAAAUUGAAAGCAAUGUGGCUGAAAUAAAACAAAUCAAUAGAUGAGUAAACAAUAAAGUGGAUAUGAAUAUGAA